UCUAUGGCCAUACCACCUUGAACGCAUCCAAUCUCUUCUGAUCACGGAAGCUAAGCAGCGUUGGACCUGGUUAGUACUUGGAUGGGAGAAAUGAGGAUUGUGGCAACUAUUAGAU
rnacentral:rRNA from 1 species